UCUCCCUCCCCCUCAGCUCCUCCUGCAGGGAGCUCAGCUGCUGCUUCAACGCCUGGCAGGGAGGACGAGGACAGAUUAAAGGGACGUUCCACCUAUUCCACACUUAAUAUCCACGUCUUGUGCUGCUGAACAGGUGCAGCAGAAGCCGCAGGAGGAGGAGGGAGAGGUGCAUUCUGGGUCUUUGGCUUCAGCGAGGGGAACAACCUUGUCAUGAGCUGGGAGGCAGGAGGAGGAGAAGAAGAAGAAGCAGGAGGAUCUGUGCCUUUAUCCAGCUCCACAACUUUGCUCACUGCCACCUUCCUCAACAGAGUCCGUGCCGGUGGGUUUGUAAGGAGACCCUUGUUAUAUUCUCUGACCUGCUGUUGCCGGGCAGACUUCAGCCUCUGCUCCUCCAGCCUCAGCUCCUCCUCCAACAACUCCUCAAACGUCUUCUUCUGACCCCCGAUACCCGGCUUGAUAGGUCUGAAAAUAGAAGGACACACACAGACACACAAGUUUUGACUUCUUCGUAGCCGUGCCUGUCUCCCUGCUGAUGAGAGUUCUUGCUCGUGGCGAAGGCCACUGGUGGAGCCCUGGGGGACCCCAAGGCAGUUCAAGGUGGGGCUGUACAUGGU